rnacentral:sRNA from 1 species
GCCAGGCGCGGGGGGCGCACGCCUCUAAUCCCAGCGGCUGGGAGGCUGGGGCAGGAGAAUCAUGAGUUCAAGGCCAGCCUCAGCAAAGGUGAGGUGAUAAGCAACUCAGUGAGACCCUGUCUCUA